rnacentral:lncRNA from 1 species
GGUGGUCUUUAUGCAGAAACAAUAAUUUAGAAUUUAGCAUCAGUUAUAUAAAUAGGCAGCAAUAGGUUUCAGUGGCGGAUCCAGAACUUUUCCAAAGGGGGGCCCACUGACUGACCUAAAGGGGGCCGCUCCAGUCAUGCUUCAGUGAUUUCCUAUAUAAUCAACCAAAUUUUUCCCACGAAAGGGGGGGGGGGGUCAGGCCCCCCCCCCCUGGAUCUGCCUAUAGGUUUUACAUCCUUGCUUUCUUACACUUCUUAGCUUGAUGGCAAUUACUGUGAAAGUAUUUUUAUUCGUGGGGAACUAAUUUUUCGUAAUUUUCGUGGAUGACUAAAUCCACGAAUUUAAGUGUCCAACAAAAUAAAACAUCUGUUGUCCAAAUCAAGACCUGGAAAGAUCCCCAUGUAGGUUUGACUACUAUGAUCUACAGAAUAUAUUGAAUAACGCCAGAAGUACAUAAUUA